GCUUAAGCUGAUUUAUAUUUCUUCUAACCAGCAUCAUCUAACUUUGGAAGAUAAGCAGACUUGGGCCUGGUCAGUACAGUACUUGAAUGGGAGAUCACCUGGGAACACCAGAUGCCAUAGGCU
rnacentral:rRNA from 1 species